UCCAAUCUGCUCACUGAUUUAUUUUAAAGAGCCGCAGUAUUUUGACUGUGCAAAGGUAGCAUAAUCAAUAGUUUUUUAAUUGAAAACUUGUAUGAAAGAUUAGACGAGAAAUUAAUUUUUUUUAUUUUAUAAAAUUUAAUUUUAAAUUUAAGUGAAAAUGCUUAAAUGCAUAUAAAAGACGAGAAGACCCUAUAGAUUUUUAUUAUUUAUAUAAAUUUUAUAGUUUAAUUUAGUAUACUAAUUUCAUUGGGGUGAUUUUGUAAUAUAAAAAACUUAAUUUUUUAAAACCAUAAAUAAUUGAAUAUUUUGAUCUAAAAUUUUUAAAGAAAAGAUUAAAUUACCUUAGGGAUAACAGCGUAAUUUUUUUUAAGAGUUCAUAUCAUAUAAAAAAGCUUGCGACCUCGAUGUUGAAUUAAGAUAAAAUAUUGAACUAG
rnacentral:rRNA from 1 species